rnacentral:misc_RNA from 1 species
CAGAGUUGCAAGACUCCCUAACCAUUGUGAACCGACCUUCUACCAGUUGCUUCGGCGGGCGGCCAGCCCCCCCUGGCCCCGCGGCCCCGCCGGAGGAAUACCAAACUCUUGACAUUAGUGCCUCUCUGAUUAUUCUUUACUGAAUAAGUCA